rnacentral:tRNA from 1 species
CAGGCUGUAGCUUAUAAAGCGUUUUAUUUACAUUAAGAAGAUUACUUGGGUUUAGUAUGGCUUGA